rnacentral:rRNA from 1 species
UACGAAGGGGGGCUAGCGUUGCUCGGAAUCACUGGGCGUAAAGCGCACGUAGGCGGAUCUUUAAGUCAGGGGUGAAAUCCCAAGGCUCAACCUUGGAACUGCCUUUGAUACUGGGGAUCUCGAGUCCGGAAGAGGUUGGUGGAACUGCGAGUGUAGAGGUGAAAUUCGUAGAUAUUCGCAAGAACACCAGUGGCGAAGGCGGCCAACUGGUCCGGGUACUAGACGCUGAGGUGCGAAAGCGUGGGGAGCAAACAGGGAGUUAGAAACCCCAAG